AACGAACGCUGGCGGCGUGCCUAAUACAUGCAAGUCGAGCGAACAGAUAAGGAGCUAGCUCCUUUGACGUUAGCGGCGGACGGGUGAGUAACACGUGGAUAACCUACCUAUAAGACUGGGAUAACUUCGGGAAACCGGAGCUAAUACCGGAUAACAUAUUGAACCGCAUGGUUCAAUAGUGAAAGGCGGCUUUGCUGUCACUUAUAGAUGGAUCCGCGCCGUAUUAGCUAGUUGGUAAGGUAACGGCUUACCAAGGCAACGAUACGUAGCCGAACUGAGAGGGUGAUCGGCCACACUGGAACUGAGACACGGUCCAGACUCCUACGGGAGGCAGCAGUAGGGAAUCUUCCGCAAUGGGCGAAAGCCUGACGGAGCAACGCCGCGUGAGUGAUGAAGGUCUUCGGAUCGUAAAACUCUGUUAUCAGGGAAGAACAAAUGUGUAAGUAACUGUGCACAUCUUGACGGUACCUGAUCAGAAAGCCACGGCUAACUACGUGCCAGCCGCCGCGGUAA
rnacentral:rRNA from 1 species